AUCUUCAGGGCAGGGUGUAAUUCCCUACCGGUGGUACAGCCCACGAGCCGUAAGGCAUGAUUCGGUGAAACUCCGAAGCCGACAGUACAGUCUGGAUGAAAGAAGAUA
rnacentral:ncRNA from 1 species